GUGUACUCACGGGAGGACUCGCAGACGUUACUGCCCUCUUGCGUGCCCCGGCCACCCCCGGGCGGCUUGUAGCCGGUGCGCGGGGUGGCUGGGGCUACGUGCAGAGCUGUCGCGGAGCCGGAGCAGCAGCGGUGAAGGCCCUCGGCUCGGCCGAGACCGCCGUGCCCACUGCUCGCCUCGGUUGCCGCCGCUUUAGCCGCAGCCGCUGCUGCCGCCGCCGGGGGAGAGGCAGCCUAUUGUCUUUCUCCGCGGCGAAGGUGAGGAGCUGUCUCGGCUCGGCCCGCGGGGGAGCCCCGGGAGCCGCACGGUGGCAUUUUUCAACUCCGCUGGAGCCAGUGCCCAGGAGGAACAAAGGGUGUGCUGCCAGCCCCUGGCUCACCCAGUGGCCUCGUCCCAGAAGAAGCCAGAGGAAAGUACAUCAGCCAGGGGGCAGUGUCAGAGACGCAGCACUGGGAGAGGAGGACAUCGUCAGGCUGGCCCAGGACCAGGAGGAGAUGAAGGUGAACCUGCAGGAGCUGCGGGGCAGGUGUUGCAGCUUGUGGGCGACCACAAGGAGGGGCAUGGCAAAUUUUGACCAUUGCCCAGAACCCUGCUGAUGAGCCCACUCUAGGAGCCCCAGUAGCCCAGGAGCUUGGGUGUGCUGACGAGCAGGGUGAUCACCACUGGAUUGCUGACAGAUAGAGGAGGUGGGACCCUGACUAUCACCCCUAAUCUGCAGUGGAUUUGGCUCUCGGCACUCCCAGGCUGGGAGCUGGAUACCUGCCCUGGCAGCAUGGCUCAGACUGCAUGACAGAGAACGUGGCCAGUGGAGACGGCACACUGGAAAUCAGAGUGAAUGUUCUUGAAAGAGGGUCACGGGUCAACAAGGCCCAGCCAAAGGAUGCAGUAGAACCAUUUUCCUUAGAAAUCUUUGGGAGUGAAGUAGGCUUCAGCCACUCCCAUCCCUGCCCUUGCGGCUACCACUACCCCAUUAGUUUAGACAGGGUCGGGCGGGGAGGGGUGUGGAGAAGAAAUGAGCUUGCCUGUGGCCCCCAGGCUCCCUCUGUCCUAGCUCAGGUCUGGGUGCCAUUCUUUACACUCGUGUGCUCGCUCACGCACACAUCACACACCUUGCUGGUCACACAGUCACAGACUCGCCUCUGCUCCUGUGGUCCAGUGGC
rnacentral:lncRNA from 1 species